CCUACGGGUGGCAGCAGUGAGGAAUAUUGGUCAAUGGGCGCGAGCCUGAACCAGCCAAGUAGCGUGAAGGAAGACUGCCCUACGGGUUGUAAACCUCUUUUAUAAAGGAAUAAAGUGAGGCACGUGUGGCUCAUUGUGUGUACUCUAGUAAUAAGGAUCGGCUAACUCCGUGCCAGCAGCCGCGGUAAUACGGAGGAUCCGAGCGUUAACCGGAUUUAUUGGGGUUAAAGGGAGCGUAGAUGGGGGGGUAAGUCAGGUGUUAAAGUGUGCGGCCGAAACGUAAAAUUGCAGUUGAAACUGGCUGUCUUGAGUGCGCGUGAAGUAUGCGGAAUGCGUGGUGUAGCGGUGAAAUGCAUAGAUAUCACGCAGAACUCCGAUUGCGAAGGCAGCAUAC
rnacentral:rRNA from 1 species